ACAAACCGUUUCUUUGCCUGCCGCCAUCCACGUAGAAUGUGACUUGCUGCUCUUCGCCUUCUGCCAUGAUUCUGAGGCCUCCCAGCCACGUCGAACUGGCCUAAAAUAGCAACCUGAAAUAUACUGGAUACACAAAAAAGUCUGUGUUUUAUGGAAUCUAAGAAGCCAUCGGUUCAACAUGGUUGUAAGGGUUUGAACUUGUGAUUGAGGAUGUGCUGGACUCAUCGUGCUGAGAGAAACUUGUCCAGUUACGUGGUUAGAACCAAAGAGUUUUGGCUCAGACAAGUGAUGCUAUCCAAGGAUAACUGGAUCUAUGCUGCAGCCUCAGACAGAAGAAGGAGAUGCCAGUGACAAGCAAAGUAACUCCCCCACGGCAUGGGAAGAGCCAGCAUCUGCUGCUGUCCAGGAACACAGUCUCACUGCUGCAGUCAAGGAAGGCCAAGGAAGCCACCGGGGAAAACCAACCCAUCCCGGGGACACUGGAGGCUCACUCCUUCCUCGCUGCAUUCUGAGGCUGCUGCUUUGGAGUGAGAGAUUAUCCUCUGCUUCUCCUGAAAGA
rnacentral:lncRNA from 1 species